UUUCCGUAGGUGAACCUGCGGAAGGAUCAUUAACACCAAAAACCCCCUUACCCGGUUUUCCAACUGGGUAUUGGCACCCCCGAGUGUGAACACGGUUGAAGGAAGCAGAGAGAGGGAGGGAGAGAGGCGAGAGAGGGAGAACUUUGUUCUUUCUUCUCUUUCUUUUCCCCUUUUUUCUUUUCCUUUAUUUUCUUUUCCAACCAAAACCCCAUUGAAAUUAUUCGACUGAUCUUUUGUUUGUAGGUCUUGUUUUUUUUCCAUGGAAAAGAAACGAACACCUACAAAACCAAAAAAAAACACCAAAAUGUUGGAAACAACUCUUAGCAAUGGAUAUCUUGGUUCUC
rnacentral:misc_RNA from 1 species